CGCCCCAACUCCCUUCCGCCUGUGCACUGGCCGCCGCCAAGCAAGAAACGCCCAGACGUGCUCGCAUCCACGCAUCUGGUGCCCCCGCCCACCUCAUUUUCCCGUCCUCAAAUACAAGGGCUGGGCAACCACCGCCUUGCCACCGAAUCCGGCUAAAUUAGAGCGCCGGCGGCCGGAUCCGGCGCCUGCCAAGGUGCCAGGGUCGAGCUCCCCCUCGUCCCCGUCCAAUUUCUCUUUCUCUCUCAUACCUACUUCCCCGAGAAAAAAAUGGAGUACCUGGAGCCGGCGAGCGGGGAGGCGAUGAAGUUGCGGGAGUGGCGCUCAUCCUGGUCCUCCAACUCUUCCGGAUGGGCGCGGGAGGCAGCUCGCGGGCGAGCAGUUGGGAUGGACGAGCGUGGCACCGUCUGAGCCUUAAACGCCCUCACUGAGGCCCACUUGGGUCGAACACGCAGGGAAAUAGCCGCGUCUCUGUGGCCUCCUCCCUCCCCGACUGAGCCAACCCCAGUGCACCGCCGCCGCGGACCAGGACCUCGAGCGGAUGAUCUCGAACCAGAUCGCCACCACCAUUGGCUUACAAUGGGGAUCCGGAAGCGGUUGCUCCCUGCAGACUCCAAGGAGGAGCAUGCCAGCCAGCAGGCUGCCAGCACGGUGACGGCUAGGCGGGUCCUGGAGAGGGACGGGCCGGGCGAGGUGGCGGCAGUUAUGAAGGAUCCGGUCCUGAGGGGCCAGACGGGAGGAAGAAGGAGAAGAACACGGCGUGAUAUCCUUACUGUUACCAAAACAUCAUUUGAUUGUCCAUCUGAUAGUUGUACACAAGUUGCAGUUGUUAAGAUCUGAUGAAAAUCGAUAUGUGCUUCAACCCUAUAUACUAUAUUUCCUAUUUAAUGCCCACACUUGUCUUUACAAAAACUGGGCGCAAUAUGAAUUAAUAGUUUUCUUCUUCUUUGGAGGUCCCUCUAGUUCCAUGCCUUAUCAAUUUAUGCAGGACAAAUGGUGUUGAUUGCAGCUUGAAGUGAAGCGGACAGUAUGCCUCUUACUGACUAAUACACACUUUCAUGCUUAGAACAUCUAGAGAGAAGAACACCAAUGACAAUAUUAUCCAGUUUGUUUUCAUCAAAUACUGGUGCAAUGUUUCGUACCAUUACAUGACAUGUGACAAAUUGACUGCUUCAGAGGGACUGUAAUAUAUGUUUAUCUCAAAAAAAUUAAAGGAAUCAGUUGGAAGUGCUGAAGAACACACUCAAGACACAAAAUCAAUAUGAAUCAUGGUCUGCGGGGCGCGGCGCGCGUCGGAGCAUCUGCCACCGUAUAUGGACCAGUCGAGCACCAUGGGCAGGUUCGUCAGGUUUCGGUCCAAGUCACCUCUAGAGAAGACGUACGAACCUUGGUCCGCAAUGAACGCCUUGGUGCACCAAGCGCUGGUAUUGUUUCUACUGAUGUUGCUCCAAGAUCCGGAGGGGGACUGCUGGAGCUGGCUCCGUAUGCUGGUGACCUCCAAGUCCAGCGCCUUGAGCUCCUCCGGCACGGAAGCUUGGCAGCAGCCCACACCGGAGCACGCACCAGUUGUGAUGCUCCCCUCGGAGGCGCAGAACGACACGCACCCUCCGCGGUAACUGUACCCGCUUCGGAUCAUCGCCAUGGCGUCACAGCCAACGACGGUGAACUUGUUGAGUGUGUGGGAGAAGGUGAAAGGGGUGCCCACAAGGUUGAGGAAGUUUGUGGUCACCAGGCCGUUGUUCUGCUGGCACUGGGAGUACACGGUGUCGCCGGUCACACGUAAGUAGCCCUGGUCCAGUGAGAUGUUCAGGACUGUGUACAGCUUACUUCCGAGCCACAGCAUCGGCCCUGCUGGUUCGCACAAUAUGGCGAAGCCUAGAAUUCUCACUAUGCUCGAGUUGUCGGAGAUGGUGAAAGGGUAUGGGAUGGCAACUGAGCUACCGGGGCAUUUGGCAGGAUCGGAUUGGGGAGAACCCAUGAAGAAUAGUGAAAGCAAGUAGAGAAGAAGCAGCUGCACAAGAUAUACUCUGGAGGGUGCUGCUUCACAAGGAUUACCUUGUGCGCCGAGCAUGUUCAUGCCCUUUUGAUCAAAUAACUGAUGCAGCUUCGAGGACGGCUUCAGGGUUGCAGCAAGUAGUUCUCUGAGUAUCUCAGAGCAAUACUCCAGUGAGGCAAUGAAGAGAAAGACGACCGACUGAUGUGCAGUCGUUGCAGAGUUAUAUGGCUUUUCUCUCGUGGGUCGCCAUAGGAAAAUUGCCUUUCUGGUGCAGAGUUUGCUUGCUUGCUUCGGUCAAAUAGUUUAGCCUACCAUGGAAAUAAAUGAUUCCCCAAUUGAACCACGGUGCAGUUUUUUCUCAAGCAUUUGGACCGUUGGAUGUCCCAAAAAACAAAAAAACAAAAACUCUAUGGAACCACAGAUUCACCAGUA